rnacentral:lncRNA from 1 species
AUGAGACAGCAGCCUAUAGAAAGGAGAUCCAGGAGAGGAAAAAGAAACAAGUUUUAUUUAAGCCCCAAACACUCGGCUAGAAAAACCGGAAAGGAAAGAGAGCAGGGAAGUGAGAAGAAAAAGGACAUUAAAAAAAGAGACAGAAAACACAGCAACCCUUUUCCAUUUAGAAAUUGUCAAGUUACACUGACAGGUCACAGAAUAUCCACAGAAGCCAUCACUGCUACACCAACACGGGCCCUACGGGGUGGACGGGGCGGGGUGCGGAGCCGCAGCUCAGCCCGGGGGUGGGGAGACCCCAGCUGGGGCUCCCCGGCUCAGAGCCUCGGGCCGGGCAGGGGGGUGGGGGGGACUCCUGGGGAAACAGCAUAUCGUGGACGGGGCAGGAAAGGAACCCCCCCAUGCGAGUUACACAGCACAGCGGGCGGGGGUGGGGGGCCGGGUACAGGGGUCCCCCCAGACGUCUUAGUUUUUCUUGGUCAAGCACACACUGAUGGACGGAGCAGCGAGGCGCAUGCAGCUGAGGGGCGGCGACGUGCUGCGGCCUUGGAGAGGGCGGGGCCGGCGGGUGGGGGGCGAAGCGAGCGCUGCAGGCACCAGGCACACACACGCGGGCACUCCCACACGCCUGGGUCUACGCCCGUGCACGCGCACACACACACACACACACACACACACAGCCCGCACACACAGGUCACAUGCACCUCCGCGUACGGCCCUCUGUCCACGCGGCUCGCACGCACCCCAGUCUCUCAAGCCACGCACGUCUGCGCACGCGCGCACACACACACAGCACACGCCUUCUCACGUGCCAAGUGCCUCCGUACCAGCACGCAGGUGGGCACGGCCGAUGCCCCUGCAGGGAACGCGCGCCCAGUGCGCAUGCCUCCCUGCACACACGUGUGGAAGGUCACGCUGCGCACACACACACUUCCCUCCACGCGCGGACAAGUGGACCUGGGCCAAUGCGCGCGCGCGUGCACGCAUACACACACACAGGUUGCACACAACUCCAUACAAACGCCUCUCAGCCCAGAAAUGUGCAGGAGUCAACGGGAAAGAGAGAUGCAAAUCCCAUUGGGCUCUAGGCUAGCGGGUGGGGUGGCGCCCUCGGCUCCCUCCGUCUGCCCCUGGUGGAUGGACACCUCCUCCUCCCCCCACAAAGGGACAUUCAACUCAGGACAAAGACGGUGGGACACACAUUCAGGUCACAGGGCUGAGGGUGGGGGCAAGCGAAAAGUAGCAAGCAAAGAGUAA